UUGCCUACCCUGGAUUCCAGAGCCUUCGACAGUAAAUAAUAAAUUGAAAUGUCGCGAACAUUUCAAUCUAUUAUUUACUGUCGAAGGCUCUGGAAUCCAGGGUAAAUA